UCAGUUGAAGCUGCCAGCAUGAUCUAAAUCUUCCUCCCUCGUUGAGGAGAGAUCAGAUCAUGUGGCAGUUUCACCCGUUG
rnacentral:pre_miRNA from 1 species